GCGCAGGUGAUGAAACCGGUAAACAUGCUAGCUUGAGGGGCUAGUGGGAGCAAUCCUUUGGGGGUUCAAAUCCCCCCCUGCGCA
rnacentral:tRNA from 1 species